UUCCUUGGUAAGCAAGUAUAAUAAAAAAAUUAGAAUUGUCUAGAUUCCACUAGAGUAAUUUGGACACCAAAAAACCUUGUAUAGGUUGUAGACACUUGUAGAAUUCUCUAGAAGAUAUGAUAAGAGUCUAUAAAUAGGGCAUGAUCCCUCAUUUGUUAGUAAGAAAAAAGAAGCUAGACAAAGCUCAAGCUAUUGUAAGCUAUCAUCAUUCUAAUAAAAUUCCUUUUUGCUACCCACUUUGUCCACCAAAUUACUUUCUACCAAAAUCUUCCAAACUAUUAACUUUCAAUAAAAAGUCAACUAUUUUUUACCUCCAAAAUUAUUCCAUACAAAACAUUCUCAAUCAUCCUAUCUCAUCACUACAACAACACAAAAACUAUCAGUGGUAUCAGAGCCACGUUCCAUUGAUAUUGGGCGUACGCAUAUAUGAUGGCAGACGCUUUCCGCUCAUCAAUUCCUAUCCCAAUAUUUAAUGGGGAAAACUAUGAGUUUUGGUCUGUCAAAAUGAAGACCUACUUUUGUGCUCAAAAUUUAUAGGAUGUCGUCAAAUUGGGUAUACUAACCCAGAUGACAUUUCCACUUUAACUUCAGCACAAAAGAAGGAACUUAAGGAGAAUCAACAAAAAGAUUCUCUAGCAUUACUUUCUCUACAAAUGAGCUUGACGGAUACAUAUUUUCCAAGAAUUAUGGGAGCCAAAACAGCGAAAGAAGCAUGGGAUAAGUUGAAGGAGGAGUUCUACGGCAGUAACAAGGUACGUACUUGCCGCCUUCAAGCUUUAAGAAGAAAUUUUGAAAAUCUAAAAAUGAAAGAGUCGGAAACUGCAAAAGAUUAUUAUUCAAGAAUAGAUGAAAUAGUAAAUCAACUAAGGUCUUAUGGUGAUGAUGUUCCCGAAAAGAAGGUCAUUGGAAAAAUUUUAAUUACUUGCACAGAAAAAUAUGAUCCAAUUAUUGCAGCUAUUGAGGAAUCCAAGGAUAUAGAUGAAUUAACAGCUGCAGAAUUAAUGGGAUCAUUAGAAGCUCAUGAAAAAAGAUUAGAAAGGCGCUAUGAAAUGGAGAUAGAAAACGCUUUUCAAUCGAAACUUAAUAUGCGGUUUCAAAAAUCUAAAGAAGGUGGAAGAAAAUUUAAAGAGAAUUCGAAAAAUAAAGAAAUUCAAGGAAAAGAAGUUGAUAAAAGCGACAAGUAUUCUUCAUGCAGUAUUUGUAAAAGAAAAGGUCAUCAGGAGAAAGAUUGUUGGUUUAAAGGUAAACCACAGUGUCGUAACUGUAGAAAAUUUGGACAUGAAGAGAAAUUUUGUCGCCUUAAACAAAAUCAUCAAGCUAAUUUCUCUGAAGAAAAAGAGACAGAUGGAAAUCUAUUUUAUGCCUUCAAGAAGAAUGUCUCUGAAAAGAAAUUAGAUACGUGGUAUCUAGAUAGUGGCUGUAGUAAUCACAUGACGAAGGAUGAAAGUAUUUUCUGCAGUCUCGAUAAAAUAAAUACAAAAAUAAAAAUUGGCAAUGGAAAUUUUAUAGAGGCUACAGGUAAAGGUACUAUUGCCGUUGAUACAAAAAAGGGUAAGAGAUACAUUAAUGAAGUUCUCUUAGUCCCUACAAUAGAUCAAAAUCUACUAAGUGUAGGUCAGAUGAUGGAGAAAGGAUACAGUAUACAUUUUGAAGGAGAUUAUUGUACAAUUUAUGAUAAGAAAGAUAAACAUCUGGUAAUUGCAAAUGUCAAAAAGCGGGAGAACAGAUGUUUUCUAAUCCAAUGGAGAUACGCAAACAAUGUGGCAAUGGCGGUGCAAGUAGACGAGUCAUGGUUGUGGCAUAAAAGAUUUGGACAUUUCUACUUCCAUGGGUUAAAAAUUUUGAAGCAAAAGAGCAUGAUGAGAGACUUACCAGUCAUAAAAAAAAUUGAUGCAAUUUGCGAAGGAUGCUUGAGCGGGAAACAUCCCCGUCAACCAUUUCCAUCUGGAAAAGUAUGGAGAGCCAAAAAGCCUUUGGAGUUGAUACAUACAGAUGUAUGUGGCCCGAUGCGUACUCCAUCACAUAACCAAAAUAGGUACUUCAUUCUAUUCAUAGAUGACUAUACUAGAAUGACAUGGGUAUAUUUCUUGCAAGAAAAAUCCCAAGUAUUUGAGAUUUUCAAAAAGUUCAAAAGCUAUGUCGAAAUGCAAAGUGGUUGCAAAAUCAAAACUAUCAGAAGCGACAGAGGUAGGGAAUAUACAUCAAAUAAAUUCAACAAGUUUUGUGAAGAUGAAGGAAUGGAGCAUCAACUUACUGUUGGGUACGCACCGGAACAAAAUGGCAUGUCAGAAAGAAAGAACAGAACAGUAAUGGAGACAGCUAGAGCUAUGCUGAUGGGGAAGGUCUUCCAAAAACAUUUUGGGCAGAAACAGUAAGCACUGUAGUCUAUCUACUAAAUCGAUGUCCGACAAAGGCAGUGCAAGACAAAACACCGGUUGAAGCAUGGGGUGGACGAAAACCAUCAGCAAAACAUCUCAGAGUUUUCGGCUGCAUCUGCUACACACAUAUACCUCAGGAGAAAAGAGGUAAGCUGGAUGAAAAGACUGAAAAAGGAAUCUUCUUAGGUUAUAGUACACAAUUAAAAGGCUAUCGAGUAUAUAACCUAAGAACAAAGAAGCUAAUUAUAAGUCGAGACGUAAAGUUUGAUGAAGAUGCCACCUACAACUGGGAGACUGGUCAAAUUGAGAAAAAAAAUGUCAGCACCCUUACACAACCACAAAAGCAGGAGAGUGAUGUUGAGGAGAACAAUCAAACCGUAGCAUGCAGUUAUAGAAGAACCAGUCGACUCACCAGAAUCAUCGCCAAGAAAGACACGAAGAUUAUCAGAAAUAUAUGAAAGAUGCAACUUGAUGAUCAUAGAACCUAAAAGCUAUGAAGUAGCUUCAAAACAACCAGAAUGGAGAAAUGCUAUGGAUGAAGAAAUAAAAAUGAUCGAGAAAAACAAUACUUGGGAGCUUGUAGAUCCUCCUCAAGAUAAAGAAGUCAUAGGAGUUAAGUGUGUCUACAAGACUAAACUCAAUGCUGAUGGCUCAAUUCAAAAACAUAAAGCAAGACUAGUUGCCAAAGGAUACUCACAUCAGUUUGGCAUCGAUUACACUGAGACAUUUGCCCCUGUUGCACGUCUCGAUACUAUAAGGGCAUUAAUUGCACUAGCUGCACAGAAAAGGUGGAAGAUUUACCAGUUGGACGUCAAAUUGGCAUUUCUUAAUGGCUAUCUUGAAGAAGAAAUUUAUGUGGAGCAACCUCAAGGGUACGAGGUUCGAGGUAAAGAAUAUAAAGUUUUCAAACUAAAGAAGGCACUAUAUGGAUUAAAGCAAGCUCCGCGAGCCUGGUACAGUAGAAUUGACAACUACUUCACUAAGCAAGGAUUCAGGAGGAGCCAAAGUGAACCAACUCUAUAAAUCAAAAACCAAGGUACAAAUAGUACACUUAUAAUCUCUUUAUAUGUUGAUGAUCUCAUCUACACAGGGAAUGAUGAGAAGAUGAUCAAGAAAUUCAAGGAAGAUAUGAUGAAAACGUUCGAGAUGACUGAUCUGGGAUUAAUGCACUAUUUUCUUUGGAUCGAGGUAACUCAAUCUAAAGAUAGGAUAUUUAUAGCUCAGAAGAAGUAUACCACCAAUCUAUUAAAAAAGUUCAAGAUGGAAGGUUGCAAAACAGUAGCAACACCUCUGGAUAGCAACAAAUCACUCAGAAAAGAAGAUGGUACUCCAAAAGCAGAUAGUUCACAAUUUCGAAGCUUAAUUGGAAGUUUACUCUAUCUAACUGCUACAAGGCCAGGCAUAAUGUAUGCAACCAGCCUAUUUUCAAGAUUUAUGCAAAAUCCAAGUCAAGUUCACUAUGGAGCUACAAAGCGGAUACUAAGAUACCUCCAAGGAACAAAAGACUAUGGAAUAAGGUAUGAGUCUACGCCUGACUCAAGACUACUUGGGUAUACUGAUAGCAAUUGGGCCGGAUCAGUAGAUGAUAUGAAGAGCACAUCACGCUAUGCAUUUACACUAGGUUCGGGAAUAUUUUCUUGGGCAUCAAAGAAACAGGCAACGGUUGCACAAUCAUCAGCUGAAGCAGAGUAUAUUGCAGCAGCAAUGACUACGAGUCAAGCAAUAUGGUUAAAGCGCACACUUGAAGAUAUGGGAGAGCCACAAAAUGAAGCAAUAAAGAUCUACAACGACAGUAAAUCAGAUAUAGCAAUGGUCAAAAAUCCUGUAUUUCACAGCAGAACAAAACAUAUUGGCAUCAAGUAUCACUUCAUCAGAGAAGCUGAAGCAAACAAAGAGAUAGAACUUAAACAUUGCAAAACUGAAGAACAAUUGGCGGACAUAUUCACGAAGGCACUACCACGAGCAAAGUUCGAGCUACUACGAGAAAUGAUUGGAGUUACCGAAAUGAGCAUCAAGGAUGAGUGAUAAAUUUAAUGAUGCUCAUUUCUAGAAGAAUCUAGAAUUACUUGCCUAGAAUAUCCUAGAAUUCCUUGGUAAGCAAGUAUAAUAAAAAAAUUAGAAUUGUCUAGAUUCGACUAGAGUAACUUGGACACCAAAAAACCUUGUAUAGGUUGUAGACACUUGUAGAAUUCUCUAGAAGAUAUGAUAAGAGUCUAUAAAUAGGGCAUGAUCUCUCAUUUGUUAGUAAGAAAAAAGAAGGUAGACAAAGCUCAAGCUAUUGUAAGC
rnacentral:lncRNA from 1 species